CAAAGCGGGGCCCUCGGCGACCUGCGCCAGCGGGCCCUGGGCUGGGGCUGCGGCGGGGUGGGAGCGGGGCUGGAGAGACUCCUGAAGGCACCCUUGCUGGGCUGUCCCGGGGGACCGGAAGGGGCAGGCUGGGGUUUCAGAAAGGCAGCUUUGAGGAGGACAAGCAGGAGUCGGGGAGGGAGCGUGGUUAGGAGGCCAAUGGCGCGCACCAGAAGUGAGUUCUGAGUGAAGUCCCAGCAGCCUUUCAAGAGCAAGCCUGCAGUAGUUCGGGUGAGAAUCUAGGGGAGGGUUGGGAUGAUCACCAAGCACAGAGCCUGAGAACGGCAGCCAGGGCCGGGAAAGCGCCCCAGCAGGAGGAGCCCCAGGCCAGGCAGGUGCACCUCUGAGGCCUUCCUGGAGGCAACCCCACCAUCCAUCACAGUGGCUGCUGAGCAUCAGUUAGCAGGCCGGCCUUCUACAGGUUGUUAUUGAAGGGGACAGGCACAGCGCUCUUGCUCAGAAAGCCCCUGGUCUACUGGGGGAGCUUGUGUGUGCGCAAAGUCUCCAUCCAGUAAAAAAAGCAGCCAACAUAGUGGUAUCAAUCAGGACUGCACCUAAAGUCAGUGAACACGUGCUGGAGGGACGCUGGGAAAAGAGGCUGACUCUGGAAGGCAGGCAGGGACACCCCUCGGGCUCUGCCGCCCCUGGGGCAAGACGUCCAGAAUUCAUGGCCCGUCAGCCCUGCAAGGCCCAGGGCUCUGACCCCUUUGGAAAUCACUCUCUUCUCUGACAGUGGAGGCUCUCUCCUCGGAGGCCUAGGGCAGGCAGGUUUCCCUGGGAGAUGUACUCUGGUGCCCUGCAGUCAGGAUGAUGGGUGAGGAGGCAAAAGCUGCUCUGGGCCGCUGAGAUCAGUGGGGCACGGAGAGAAAUAUGGCCAAGCAACUGCGAAAUGAGAGAGACACUCAGGCUGGAUGGCAGUGGGAGGGCAGCAUUGGCUCUGGCUCCUGCUAUGCCUCCGAAUUCCAGAGGCACUUUUUGCAGAGAGCCCGGCUCAAAAGGGGGUCCCAGGCGGGCAGCACCCCUUGACUUUGUGCCAGCAGCGUCGUGCCUGGCCUGUGUGUGUCUCAAGGGCGGCCAGAAGCAGAGCAGCUUCACUGUGUUCUGCCUGCCCCAAGAGUUGUGACCCUCUCUGGCCUUUGCGCGUUGGUUAUCUGUGGAAGUGGAAGACGCUGGGCUCUUCAGGCUGCCCCCGCUCCUCCGGAGGCCCGAGGCUGCCCUGCGGUAGUUGCUCCAUUGCCGAGUCACGGCCGCCUCCCGCCUCCAGUGGACUGCAGCACGCCAGGCUCCUCUGUCCUCCAGCAUCUCCCAGAGUUUGCUCAAACUCACGGCUCUGA
rnacentral:lncRNA from 1 species